rnacentral:rRNA from 1 species
UGAGGAAUAUUGGUCAAUGGUCGCUAGACUGAACCAGCCAAGUAGCGUGCGGGAUGAAGGCCCUCCGGGUCGUAAACCGCUUUUAGACGGGGAUAAAAGGGCGUACGUGUACGCCGUAUUGCAUGUACCGUCAGAAAAAGGACCGGCUAAUUCCGUGCCAGCAGCCGCGGUAAUACGGAAGGUCCGGGCGUUAUCCGGAUUUAUUGGGUUUAAAGGGAGCGUAGGCGGACUUUCAAGUCAGUUGUAAAAUCGUGUGGCUCAACCAUACCUCGCCAUUGAAACUGGAAGUCUGGAGUGCACACAGGGGUGCCGGAAUUCAUGGUGUAGCGGUGAAAUGCUUAGAUAUCAUGAAGAACUCCGAUCGCGAAGGCAAGUGCCCGGGGUGCAACUGACGCUGAGGCUCGAAGGUGCGGGUAUCGAACAGGAUUAGAUACC